GAAAUCAUUAAGCAUUUAACUGAAAACUACUCUUCAUCUUUAUCCUCAUCCUCGACUUCAUGGUUACUGACAGCAACACAAUAUUCCUAGAUUGAAUCGUCAUUAGGAGAGGGCUCAUCUUCUUCCAUAUCCACAAGAUGAUCAUUAAUCACAGAAGUCUAUCUCAGACAAGUCAAGAUUGGGAUAGAGACAUAUGGCUUGAGUCUUUUCCCUAUCAAAGGCAGCAUCGCCUGCGUCGAGAACGUCAGUUUGUGCUUUUUGC
rnacentral:lncRNA from 1 species